GGCUGUUCCAAAGGUAGUACCUUAGCUCACUUGACUGUUCACAGUUGGUUACAGAUAGAACUCUGUGUUUCACUCUUUCCCCCCUUCUCACUAGCGCACUUGACUAGUCUUUA
ensembl:misc_RNA Y_RNA Y RNA